rnacentral:lncRNA from 1 species
UUUUUUUAGAAAAGUUAAAAAACAGAAGUUGUGAUAUUUCAAUUAUCUUUCCAGUUUCCAAGGACACUAAAAUCAUCACUAUACAAUAAAAAAUGAAUGAAAUUUGUACGAAUAAGAAUUCAGACUCUUGUAACUCAAAUAAACGAACCAUACGAAGAUAACAAGAAAAGUAAAACAAUUCAUAUCUUAAACUUAAAGAUUAUACACGAUUCUUAAGAAUUUCAGAUUUCUCUGAUUAUUAGAACGCUAUAUUAUAUAAUAAAAUGUAAUGUCUGGGGUCCAGCCACAUGCACUUAGAACGUACCAGAGAAAGAAACAAAAGAUGCAAAAGGGUAAAGAGGUCAUUGAACAGAAGAAAGGGUAAAAUUGGGAAAUCACAAAGGAAGGAAAAGGGGUUAAGGAGCUAGGGUUUGGAAGAAAGGAGGCAUCGAGUUUAUUGAGCUGUUUUCUUUUAUCUCUUUGGCUGGGAGAGAGCUGUCCUCUCGAAAGGCAGCAAGCUUGUUUUCUACUAUCAUUUCUCAUUCUGUUUUCCUGUGUAAACUUGUUUAGUGCGUAUCUAGCUAAAGUACUGUUGGAGGAGUAAACCUUUUAUCAUUAUUAUCAGUAAAUUGCAUCUCAGUUCAUAUCAAUUGGUAUCAGAGCCCAUCGAUCCAUGGCACCGUCCGUACCCAGUGUUAGUCAGCGUGUCGAAGAGUUGGAGGAUGCGCUCGGCAACAUCGAGUCGCGGGUUACCGAUCUGGUUUCUCAAGCGGUGGAAAAGGCAGUUGACACCAUGAAACAUUCUCUGGUGGAGCUCUUGUUACAGGGCCAAGUUGAAACUUCUAAGAAGUAUGGCGGCGAGUUGGAAUCUUUGGGGUCACGACUAGAGGGGCGUUUGUCUCGCGCUCGUGAACACCAAGAGGCUCUGAUCUACUCGAUGAAGACAGAUCUAGACCAAUUUCAGUCAGAAGUUCGUUCCUCUUUGGCGUCGCUAUCCAACAGACCACCCCCCUUCCAGCCAAAUAUGGACAAAUUGGACAGUGGUGCGCCCAUGGCUGGCUCUUCGUUCCAGGGUGGGGGUCACUCAUCCCAUAGAGGCUCUGCAGCUGAGGGUUUAUUUCAAAGUCCGAUGAUGGAGAGGGGAUUUUCCGGGGGUGGUGGCUCAGGAGGGGGUCCGGGUUAUUGGAAAUACCGUAAGCUGGAUAUGCCCAUUUUCGAUGGGUCAGACCCUGAUGGGUGGCUUUUACGGGUCGAACGGUAUUUUAACUUCUAUAAGCUGUCGGAAGAGGAGAGACUUGAAGCUGUGGUGGUAGCAUUAGAGGGAGACACCCUCCGUUGGUUCCAGUGGGAGAACAAAAGACACCCCAUCAGGCGGUGGGAUGAUUUAAAAUUGUUUAUACUUAGGCAGUUUAGGCCAGCUCUGGGCGGGUCGCUCUACGAGCAGUGGUUGGCCACCACACAAGAGACAACUGUGGCAGAGUAUCGUAGGCGUUUCAUUGAAACUGCAGCCCCAUUAGAUCGCGUGCCCGAAUCAAUUCUGAUGGGUCAGUUCCUCAAUGGGCUCUCUGAUGUUAUAAAGGCUGAGGUCAGGUUGUGGAAUCCAGUUAGCUUGGAACAAGCUAUGGAGAUGGCUUUAAGGGUGGAGGAACGAAAUCAGGUCACUGCAGGAAAGAAAUUUAGUGGUAUAAGUCCCAAAACGGGAUCCUACUCAGCGUCCUUCAAGGCUCCGAGUGCAGGUGGCACAUCGUUGUACAGUGCUUCCCACCCCGCAGCAUCAAUUCGGAGUUGGGCAACACAAGCUGGUGAGUCACAAAACUCUGUUAGUUCCCCUAAAUUGUCUGUCUCUAGUCCCAACAAAGGAGGUGAGUUACGCCGUUUGUCUGAUAAAGAGCUUCAAGAAAAACGUGCAAGAGGACUUUGUUUCAAAUGUGAUGAGAAAUGGUCUCAGGGUCACCGUUGCAAGAAAAAAGAAUUAAGUGUGUUGGUGAUAGAUGACGAAGAAGAUGAAGGGCUGGAUGGAGGCAGUAGUGAGGCUCCUAUGUCUCCUCCGGAGGAACUCGUGCCUGAGGUAACAACUCAACCGGAAGUCUCUCUAAAUUCGGUUGUGGGUUUAUCAAAUCCUAAAACUAUGAAGUUACGAGGGGUAAUUAAGGGGAAUGAAGUAGUGGUCCUUAUUGAUCCGGGGGCCACUCAUAAUUUCAUAUCGUUAGCUAAGGUGGGGGAGCUGCACUUGCCAAUAACAGAUGCCGGAGGUUUUGGUGUUUCUUUGGGGAAUGGGGAAGCCGUGAGGGGGCAUGGGUUGUGUAAAGGAGUUAAUCUGCAGUUGGCUGGGAGUUUGGAAAUUAAGGACGAUUUUUUACCCUUACAGUUGGGGAGUGCAGACAUUAUAUUAGGAAUUCAGUGGCUCGAGACGUUAGGAAAUGUAACGAGUAAUUGGAAGACUCAAGUUAUGCAGUUCGAUAUAGAGGGGAGAACAAUAACUCUAGUCGGGGACCCAACACUUGUGCACUCCCAGAUUUCACUUAAAGCCAUGUUGAGAACUUUGCGUAAAACAGGUGGGGGAUAUUAUGUCGAAAUGAAUCAAGUAGAGGCUGUCCAGUUGGUAAAUGAUGGAGUUGAUGUUAAGAAUGAAGGAGCAGAAGCCACAGUCCCUGUUUUUCUUGCCCCUGUCCUAGCUGAUUAUGAAGCUGUUUUCAGGGCUCCAGUCGGUCUGCCUCCAGUUAGAGGCCAUGAACAUUCCAUUAUUCUGAAAGAAGGCGCUGGUCCAGUUGGGGUACGCCCGUAUCGCUAUCCUCAAAGCCAGAAAGACGAAAUAGAGCGCCUAAUCCAAGAAAUGUUGGCAGCCGGUAUCAUUAAACCCUCUAAAAGCCCUUUUUCAAGCCCCGUUCUAUUAGUUAAGAAGCGUGAUGGGUCUUGGAGGUUUUGUGUAGACUACCGGGCUUUAAACAAGGAGACCAUUCCCGAUAAGUAUCCUAUACCGAUCAUUGAGGAGUUGCUUGAUGAGCUGCAUGGAGCAAGAAUUUUUUCCAAGUUGGAUUUAAAGGCCGGGUAUCACCAGAUUUUGGUACAACCCGAGGACACACACAAGACCGCAUUCCGGACUCAUGAUGGGCAUUAUGAGUUUUUAGUCAUGCCCUUCGGGCUAAUGAAUGCUCCUUCUACAUUUCAAUCGCUUAUGAAGGAUAUUUUCAGGCCUUUCCUAAGGAAGUAUGUGUUGGUCUUUUUUGACGACAUUCUGAUUUAUAGCAAGUCGGAAGUGGAACACUGUGAACAUAUGCGUCAGGUGUUAGAGGCGUUGGCUACUCACAAACUGGUGGUUAAUCAAAAGAAAUGCGUGUUUGGUAAGACAGCAGUGGCUUACUUAGGCCAUACCAUAUCUGGACAAGGAGUAGCUGUGGACAGUGAUAAAGUGCAAGCAAUUCUCGAAUGGCCUCAACCUACUAGUUUGAAGGAGCUACGGGGUUUCCUCGGUUUAACGGGGUACUAUCGGAAGUAUGUGAGACAUUAUGCACAGAUUGCGCAGCCUCUCACCGAUCAACUGAGAAAGGAAGCUUUUGGGUGGACGGCUAAGGCUACUGAGGCUUUUGAAAAUUUGAAAACAGCGAUGGUGACCCCUCCCGUUUUAGCCAUGCCUAACUUUUCUCAACCAUUUGUGUUGGAGACGGAUGCUUCCGGAUACGGAGUCGGGGCUGUGUUAAUGCAGAAUGAUAGACCGAUUGCAUAUUUCAGCAAGCUUCUGGGCACUAGAGCACAACAGAAGUCAGUCUAUGAAAAAGAGCUGAUGGCCAUAUGUUUGGCAGUGCAAAAAUGGCGCUAUUUUCUGCUGGGGCGUCAUUUUAUUGUGAGAACUGAUCAGCAAAGUCUGAGGUAUAUGACACAGCAACGGGAAAUUGGUGCUGACUACCAGCGAUGGGUGAGCAAACUAUUGGGAUACUCUUUUGAGAUUCAAUACAAGCCGGGCUGUUCAAAUAGAGUGGCUGAUGCUCUCUCUCGCAAGUCAGUAGGUGACAUUGAGUUCGGUUCUCUGGUGUCGACUUCUGUGGUGGAUUGGUCACUAUUGGACCAAGAGGUUUCCAGGGACCCGUUACUAACACAGCUCAAAAGGGAGAUUCUGUUGCAGGAGAAGCACCAUGUGGGUUUUUCAGUAAGGGAAGGGAAAUUGCUAUACAAGGACAGGUUUGUGAUCCCUCGCACUUCAACUUUCAUUCCCAAAUUAUUGCAAGUUUACCAUGACUCCGUAGUUGGGGGACAUAGUGGCGAAAUUAAGACUUACCUCAGGAUAGCGGCAGAAUGGUAUUGGAUCGGGUUGAGGAAGGAUGUGAGCCGUUUCGUGCAACAAUGUACCAUAUGCCAGCGUAAUAAAGUGUCUCAACAAUCGCCAAUGGGCCUAUUGCAGCCAUUACCAAUACCCAAUCAGGUAUGGGAAGACAUAUCGAUGGAUUUCAUCGAGGGUUUACCAGUUUCUAAUGGGUUCAAUUCGGUGUUAGUGGUGGUAGACAGGUUUUCAAAGUAUGCACACUUUAUACCACUUCGCCACCCAUUUACGGCAGUAACAGUGGCUGAGGUUUUCAUUAAAGAAAUUGUUAAGUUACAUGGGUUCCCUGCAACAAUCAUUUCCGAUCGCGACAAAGUGUUUCUGAGUCUGUUCUGGCAGGAGCUAUUUAAAGCUCAUGGCACCCAGCUGAGGCAUAGCACCGCCUACCAUCCCCAAACGGAUGGCCAGACAGAAAUUGUCAACAAAGCCUUGGAGUCAUAUCUACGUUGUUUUGCGGGAAGUCAGCCCCGAAAGUGGGUAAAAUGGAUUCACUGGGCAGAAUUUUCAUACAACACCUCUACCCAUUCUUCUACUAAAUUCUCCCCGUUCAAGGUGUUAUAUGGUAGAGAUCCUCCCCUGUUUCGCCGAGUAGGCAAAGGCCAAUCACCUGUGGAUAGUGUGGAAACUCUGUUGCAGGAGAGAGAUUGCAUAGUAGAUGAUUUGCGUUUUCAUUUACUUCGUGCCCAGCACAUCAUGAAGUUUAAUGCUGAUAAAGGGCGACGAGAUGUGCAAUUUGAAGUGGGGGAUAUGGUGUACGUCAAACUUCAACCUUACAGGCAGCGAUCUUUGGCUCGCCGACCUUUUGAAAAAUUGGCAGCGCGAUUCUAUGGGCCUUUUGAGAUAGUGAAGCGUGUGGGCAAUGUGGCAUAUAAGUUGCAACUUCCGGAGUCUAGUAAAAUACACCCGGUAUUCCAUAUUUCUCAGCUUAAGAAAGCUGUUGGCACGCAAGAAACAUCUGCCCACAUUCCUGAUCAAUUAUCCGUUGAUAUGGAGUUAGUUGUGCAACCGGAGCUGGUCCUUAACGUACGUCACCGCCCACAAGGCGAGUCGCUACAGCUUGAAGUGUUGCUGAAGUGGAAAGGCCUACCAGAGUUUGAAGCAACCUGGGAGGAUGUCUCCCUUAUCAGUGAAAGGUUUCCUGAGUUCCACCUCGAGGACAAGGUGAAAGUUUGGGAGGGAGGCAAUGUAAUGUCUGGGGUCCAGCCACAUGCACUUAGAACGUACCAGAGAAAGAAACAAAAGAUGCAAAAGGGUAAAGAGGUCAUUGAACAGAAGAAAGGGUAAAAUUGGGAAAUCACAAAGGAAGGAAAAGGGGUUAAGGAGCUAGGGUUUGGAAGAAAGGAGGCAUCGAGUUUAUUGAGCUGUUUUCUUUUAUCUCUUUGGCUGGGAGAGAGCUGUCCUCUCGAAAGGCAGCAAGCUUGUUUUCUACUAUCAUUUCUCAUUCUGUUUUCCUGUGUAAACUUGUUUAGUGCGUAUCUAGCUAAAGUACUGUUGGAGGAGUAAACCUUUUAUCAUUAUUAUCAGUAAAUUGCAUCUCAGUUCAUAUCAUAAAA